GAGACAGAAACGAAAAAAGCUCCGUUUUUCAUUUUCUGAGACCGGAAGUGGUCAUCAGCAAGUGUGGAGCCAAACAGAGUACGGUGCAUAGACUGGAUAUAAUUUUUUUUUCGUUAGUUUUCAUGGUCAAAAUGAGAGAUCAGGUGGCCGAUCUUAAAAUAAAUCAAUAUUGAUUUUUUUAUAGAGCGUUAAAGUUUUGCGAAGCCAGGGGGCGGGACUACUUGACUGACAGGCUGGUCUGGAAUGAUUGACAGGUCCUAUGGAGGAGGCAGCAGAGACUCUGCUCUCCUCGUUUGGAUUAAUUCUGAUAUAAUAACUGUUGGUUUAUUUAUCGGUGGAGCAGCAGAACAUUUUCCACAGACAGUUUUCCUGCCCGUUGGCUUGUUUUAACCAGUUUUCUGCCUUCGGCUGAUUCUACCAGCAGACACUGAAAGGACUCUGAUAGUUCGAGUGAAAGUAGCAGUUCCUCCUGAAGGUCAGAGAUUGCAGCAUCUGAGGGCCUCUUCAAAAGAAGACGUAGUUGAUGAAGGCGUUCUGGAGCAGGACCAGAAAGACCACGACCAAGCAGCCUUGAGAUCUUAGACAGCGUCUCCCUGAGGUCCCUCUCUAUCUCCCCACACAUCCACCAACCACUGGAACACAUCUCCAAAGUUCUGCUGGCCAGCUCAGCUUCCC